AAGUGUGCCUAUCUCCCUGCAGAAGCUUCCUCUCAAAGGAAAGCAAAAGUGGGAAAAGAGCUCCAAAAUUUAAAACCUGGAAAUGAGGCACAUCACUGGUUGCAGUAGAGGCAAGAGUAGGGGUGAAGGCUCAGAGCACUUGCAUGUUGCCUUGUCCUCCUCACCACCCCCACGGUGACAGCCUUCACCUGUCUCAGCCUUGGUUUCUGUGGCACUCCGUUGAUUGGCCCUGGACUCUGAGACCUUUAGAACCAAGGGUGAUACAAAAUACUCUGUUCUUAAUCCUCCCCAAGUUUUAUACCGCAUUCCUCCAGAGAAACACAGAACUUCUCCUCUUACCUUCAGGAAUAGUUUUCAUGGAAUCACGUUUUAAUGUUCUGUCCUCAUCUUUCGCCCACAGCUGGAAAAAAAAAACAUUUCACGUGUAUUUGUCUUUUCAUCUCUAUUUGUAAAAUUGACGUUAAGUUUCUUGUUCCCGUUUUUCUCAGGGUCUUCUUUACAAAGCUAUCGAAUAAAUUACCUCAAUGUCAGGAGGAGGAAGAUGUUCUUUCUCUGGAUGAACCUGGAUGCUUCCUUCUCCUGGACAAUGAGAAGCUUAUUUCAAGAACAUCGAAUUCCCCCACACUCCAUUCUCUGGGGCACCUGGUCACAAUGGCAGAGUCCUUGCUCUACAGUGAGGGGUUUCAUAAGUCCAAAAGGGGAGACGACCCCCCAUGCAGGUGGAGAGCUGAACAAGAACAAGAAGGAAGUUGUCAAGAGCCUCUGAGAAAGUUCACAAGGUCUGUGUCUUCCAAACAAGCAAGUUACACACCAAGGACAAAAAAUUCUUUCCUAUUCAAUGUCUAGCAGAUGUCCAACAAAAAAAGAUGAUCAUCUUAACCCAAAGAUGAACAAACUUCAAUAAGGUCUACAGCAUUGUCCCUCUGAUUUGAAGUCUCUAGUCUAUAAAGAUGUUGCAGUAGCUUCUAGUCUGUUAUCCCCAAACUAGUAUUUAAAAUGCCUUCUUGUAUAGUUUUCUAAGCAUGUAUGUAAUACUUGCCCCCUCCCAUCAUAUUCUUGGUUGCUCUAAAUCAGGAACAAAAAUAAUAGAGCAUAAUAGUUAAGAACAUGAUGUUGGACAAUUUACUAACCAUUAGAAUUCUAUUUCUUAAUAAACUCAGUCUUUUAUAAGAAAUAAGCACUCUAAUGCAUAAAAAACACUUUGUAACUCCCUGGCACCUGGUACUUAAAUAUUUUACAUUGCUACUAUCAUUAUUAUUAUUAUUAUUAUUAUUAUUCAUA
rnacentral:lncRNA from 1 species